rnacentral:pre_miRNA from 14 species
GAUUGGGUCAGGCAGCAAAUAUACUUUUUAAGAAUGUUUAUUUGCGACUGUAUCCACAUCACUA